AGCGAACGCUGGCGGCAGGCCUAACACAUGCAAGUCGAACGAACUCUUCGGAGUUAGUGGCGGACGGGUGAGUAACACGUGGGAACGUGCCCUUAGGUUCGGCAUACCUCAGGGAAACUUGUGCUAAUACCGAAUGUGCCCUUCGGGGGAAAGAUUUAUCGCGUUUCGAGCGGCCCUCGUCUGAUUAGCUUGUUGGUGCGGUAAUGGCUCACCAAGGCGACGAUCAGUAGCUGGUCUGAGAGGAUGAUCAGCCACAUUGGGACUGAGACACGGCCCAAACUCCUACGGGAGGCAGGAGUGGGGAAUCUUGCGCAAUGGGCGAAAGCCUGACGCAGCCAUGCCGCGUGAAUGAUGAAGGUCGUAGGAUUGUAAAAUUCUUUCACCGGGGACGAUAAUGACGGUACCCGGAGAAGAAGCCCCGGCUAACUUCGUG
rnacentral:rRNA from 1 species